rnacentral:rRNA from 1 species
UAGAGUUUGAUCCUGGCUCAGAUUGAACGCUGGCGGCAGGCUUAACACAUGCAAGUCGAGCGGAGAUGAGGUGCUUGCACCUUAUCUUAGCGGCGGACGGGUGAGUAAUGCUUAGGAAUCUGCCUAUUAGUGGGGGACAACAUUCCGAAAGGAAUGCUAAUACCGCAUACGUCCUACGGGAGAAAGCAGGGGAUCUUCGGACCUUGCGCUAAUAGAUGAGCCUAAGUCGGAUUAGCUAGUUGGUGGGGUAAAGGCCUACCAAGGCGACGAUCUGUAGCGGGUCUGAGAGGAUGAUCCGCCACACUGGGACUGAGACACGGCCCAGACUCCUACGGGAGGCAGCAGUGGGGAAUAUUGGACAAUGGGGGGAACCCUGAUCCAGCCAUGCCGCGUGUGUGAAGAAGGCCUUAUGGUUGUAAAGCACUUUAAGCGAGGAGGAGGCUACUGAGACUAAUACUCUUGGAUAGUGGACGUUACUCGCAGAAUAAGCACCGGCUAACUCUGUGCCAGCAGCCGCGGUAAUACAGAGGGUGCGAGCGUUAAUCGGAUUUACUGGGCGUAAAGCGUGCGUAGGCGGCUUUUUAAGUCGGAUGUGAAAUCCCCGAGCUUAACUUGGGAAUUGCAUUCGAUACUGGGAAGCUAGAGUAUGGGAGAGGAUGGUAGAAUUCCAGGUGUAGCGGUGAAAUGCGUAGAGAUCUGGAGGAAUACCGAUGGCGAAGGCAGCCAUCUGGCCUAAUACUGACGCUGAGGUACGAAAGCAUGGGGAGCAAACAGGAUUAGAUACCCUGGUAGUCCAUGCCGUAAACGAUGUCUACUAGCCGUUGGGGCCUUUGAGGCUUUAGUGGCGCAGCUAACGCGAUAAGUAGACCGCCUGGGGAGUACGGUCGCAAGACUAAAACUCAAUGAAUUGACGGG